GGGGGUGCACUGGCUUCGACGGGGGUCGCAAAGUCGCUUGGCGCAUGCCGAGGGGGUAGCUUUCCUCGUAAAUCCAGCUGCAAAACUCUAGUUGCCAACGACGACAACUACGCUCUCGCCGCUUAAGGCGUAAGCCCCGAAACUGCCUGUGUCCGUGCUAGCAGCGUAGGGUCAUCAUCACGGAAUCGCUGGAAGUGGCUGCCUGUCAGCUUCUGGUCAACCUAAAGCAGGCUGGUCCCCGGAUGCGCUUCGCGCACCGUGCUGUCCGGGGACGAGAUCCAACGGUGAGCUAAGCAUGUAGUGCCGGGGAUGGAGUGCCUUCGGACGGGGGUUCAAUUCCCCCCACCUCCACCA
rfam:Lysobacter sp. Root494 contig_2, whole genome shotgun sequence.